CUGUCUGAAUAUGGGGGGACCAUCCUCCAAGGCUAAAUACUCCUGACUGACCGAUAGUGAACCAGUACCGUGAGGGAAAGGCGAAAAGAACCCCGGCGAGGGGAGUGAAAAAGAACCUGAAACCGUGUACGUACAAGCAGUGGGAGCACAGGUUUACCUGUGUGACUGCGUACCUUUUGUAUAAUGGGUCAGCGACUUAUAUUCUGUAGCAAGGUUAACCGAAUAGGGGAGCCGUAGGGAAACCGAGUCUUAACCGGGCGUUAAGUUGCAGGGUAUAGACCCGAAACCCGGUGAUCUAGCCAUGGGCAGGUUGAAGGUUGGGUAACACUAACUGGAGGACCGAACCGACUAAUGUUGAAAAAUUAGCGGAUGACCUGUGGCUGGGGGUGAAAGGCCAAUCAAACCGGGAGAUAGCUGGUUCUCCCCGAAAGCUAUUUAGGUAGCGCCUCGUGAACUCAUCUCCGGGGGUAGAGCACUGUUUCGGCUAGGGGGCCAUCCCGGCUUACCAACCCGAUGCAAACUGCGAAUACCGGAGAAUGUUAUCACGGGAGACACACGGCGGGUGCUAACGUCCGUCGUGAAGAGGGAAACAACCCAGACCGCCAGCUAAGGUCCCAAAGUCAUGGUUAAGUGGGAAACGAUGUGGGAAGGCCCAGACAGCCAGGAUGUUGGCUUAGAAGCAGCCAUCAUUUAAAGAAAGCGUA
rnacentral:rRNA from 1 species